rnacentral:rRNA from 1 species
GGACUACCGGGGUAUCUAAUCCUGUUUGAUCCCCACGCUUUCGUGCAUGAGCGUCUAUCACAAAUUCGUAACCUGUCUUCACGAUCGGCGUUCUGUGUUAUAUCUAAGCAUUUCACCGCUACAUAACACAUUCCAGCUACGUCAUUUGAAUACUAGUCCGACAGUAUCAAUGGCACGUCACAUGUUAAGCAUGUAAAUUUCACCACUGACUUAUCAGUCCGCCUGCGCACCCUUUAAACCCAAUAAAUCCGGAUAACGCUUGCAUCCUCCGUAUUACCGCGGCGGCUGGCAC